rnacentral:rRNA from 1 species
GAUGAACGCUGGCGGCGUGCCUAAUACAUGCAAGUCGAGCGAACAGACGAGGAGCUUGCUCCUCUGACGUUAGCGGCGGACGGGUGAGUAACACGUGGAUAACCUACCUAUAAGACUGGGAUAACUUCGGGAAACCGGAGCUAAUACCGGAUAAUAUAUUGAACCGCAUGGUUCAAUAGUGAAAGACGGUUUUGCUGUCCCUUAUAGAUGGAUCGGCGCCGCAUUAGCUAGUUGGUAAGGUAACGGCUUCCCAAGGCAACGAUGCGUAGCCGACCUGAGAGGGGGAUCGGCCACACUGGAACUGAGACACGGUCCAGACUCCUACGGGAGGCAGCAGUAGGGAAUCUUCCGCAAUGGGCGAAAGCCUGACGGAGCAACGCCGCGUGAGGGAUGAAGGUCUUCGGAUCGUAAAACUCUGUUGUUAGGGAAGAACAAAUGUGUAAGUAACUAUGCACGUCUUGACGGUACCUAAUCAGAAAGCCACGGCUAACUACGUG